AAAAGAAACUCCACCACCUGCUCAAGAAACUCCCGGAGAAAGCACAGGAACAGAUCUGUACAGACACAUGCCUAGAACCCCGACCAGGUGUAAAACAUCAUCCUGGCCACUAUGGAUGUAGAAUCCCUCUACACCAACAUUCCACACAAAGAUGGACUACAAGCUGUCAGGAAUAGUAUCCCCAAUAAUAUCACGGCUAACCUGGUGGCUGAACUUUGUGAUUUUGUCCUCACCUACAACUAUUUCACAUUUGGGGACAAUAUAUACCUUCAAGUCAGCGGCACUGCUAUGGGUACCCGCAUGGCCCCACAGUAUGCCAACAUUUUUAUGGCUGACUUAGCUCUCGUCUCCUAACACCCCUACUCUACUUGCGCUACAUUGAUAACAUCUUCAUCAUCUGGACCCACGGAAAAGAAGCCAUUGAGGAAUUCCACCACGAUUUCAACAAUUUCCAUCCCACCAUCAACCUCAGCCUAGACCAGUCCACACAAGCGGUCCAUUUCCUAGACACUACUGUGCUAAUAAGUGAUGGUCACAUAAACACCACACUAUACCGGAAAUCUACUGACCGCUAUACUUACCUACAUGCCUCCAGCUUCUAUCCAGAACACACCACACGAUCCAUUGUCUACAGCCAAGCUCUAAGAUACAAUCGUAUUUGCUCCAAUCCCUCAGACAGAGACAAGCACCUACAAGAUCUCUAUCAAGCAUUCUUAAAACUACAAUACCCACCUGCUGAAGUGAAAAAACAGGUUGACAGAGCCAGAAGAAUACCCAGAAGUCACCUCCUACAGGACAGGCCCAACAAAGAAAAUAACAGAACACCACUAGCUGUCACCUUCAGCCCCCAACUAAAACCCCUCCAGCGCAUCAUCAAAGAUCUACAACCUAUUCUGAAAGAUGAUCCCUCACUCUCACAGAUCUUGGGAGACAGACCUGUCCUCGUUUACAGACAGCUCCCCAAUCUGAAGCAAAUACCAUACAACAAAAACACUAACCCAGGAACCUAUCCUUGCAACAAAGCCCAAUGCCAACUCUGUCCACAUAUCUAUUCAAGUGACACCAUCAUAGGACCUAAUCACAUCAGCC
rnacentral:lncRNA from 1 species